rnacentral:miRNA from 12 species
UUUUCUUUGAGGGCAGAAGAGCAAUGGAACAGGCUGCCUGGAGAGGUUGUGGUCUCCUUCUCUGGAGAUACUCAAAAGCUGUCUGGAUGAGAUCCUGUGCAACCUGCUCU